ACCCAAAGUCACUUUAGCCAACCCGCAAGGGAGGCAGGUGCCCAAGGUAUGGUUGGUAAUUGGGGUGAAGUCGUAACAAGGUAGCCGUAGGUGAACCUGCAGAAGGAUCA
rnacentral:rRNA from 1 species